rnacentral:rRNA from 1 species
GAUGAACGCUAGCUACAGGCUUAACACAUGCAAGUCGAGGGACGGGCGCACGGGUGAGUGACACGUAUCCAACCUGCCCGUUACUCGGGGAGAGCCGUGCGAAAGAAAGACUAAUACCCGAUAUAAAGGAUGGGGAUGCGUUACAUUAGGGUGUAGGUGAUGUAACGGCUCACCAACCCUUCGAUGGAUAGGGGUUCUGAGGGGAAGGUCCACUACAUUGGAGCUGCGGCCCGGUCCAAACUCCUACGGAGGGCAGCAGUGAGGAAUAUUAGUCAAUGGGCGCUAGCCUGGACCAGCCACGUAGCUUGAAGGAUGAAGGCUUUUGAGUCGUCAACUUCUUUUAUAUAAGAAUAUGUAUUAUAUGAAUAAGGAUCGGCUAACUCCGUGCCAGCAGCCGCGGUAAUAC